AGCGAACGCUGGCGGCAGGCCUAACACAUGCAAGUCGAACGAACUCUUCGGAGUUAGUGGCGGACGGGUGAGUAACACGUGGGAACGUGCCUUUUGGUUCGGAAUAACUCAGGGAAACUUGUGCUAAUACCGAAUGUGCCCUUCGGGGGAAAGAUUUAUCGCCAUUAGAGCGGCCCGCGUCUGAUUAGCUAGUUGGUGAGGUAACGGCUUACCAAGGCGACGAUCAGUAGCUGGUCUGAGAGGAUGACCAGCCACACUGGGACUGAGACACGGCCCAGACUCCUACGGGAGGCAGCAGUGGGGAAUCUUGCGCAAUGGGCGAAAGCCUGACGCAGCCAUGCCGCGUGAAUGAUGAAGGUCUUAGGAUUGUAAAAUUCUUUCACCGGGGACGAUAAUGACGGUACCCGGAGAAGAAGCCCCGGCUAACUUCGUG
rnacentral:rRNA from 1 species